UCGAUAACAGACAGACAAACUACAGCUUAAUAUUAUUAUGGUUAAUUUUUAGUCUAGUAGACGUUUGAUGUAUUGACGGCUGACGCUUUGUUCAUUUGACUGUGAUUUGACUUUAUAUAGAUUCAGGCAUAGUCAAGUUUAUCGUAUAAAAACUGAAAUAGAAGGAAAUAAUUGACUAUGGAAUGAAAUGAAAUAUGUAUUAUUUAUAUGUGCCGAAACUGAAAUUGAAAAACAUCUCAUUAUGAUGGUCAGAAUAAAAAAAUUCUGUUCAAUGAAUGAAACCCGAAAGGGCAGGUCUAA